rnacentral:rRNA from 1 species
UGGGGAAUAUUGGACAAUGGGGGAAACCCUGAUCCAGCAAUGCCGCGUGUGUGAUGAAGGCCUGCGGGUUGUAAAACACUUUCGUUGGGGAAGAAAUACUUGGGGCUAAUAACCCCAAGGGUUGACGUUACCCAAAGAAGAAGCACCGGCUAACUCUGUGCCAGCAGCCGCGGUAAUACAGAGGGUGCAAGCGUUAAUCGGAGUUACUGGGCGUAAAGGGCGCGUAGGUGGAUAUUUAAGUCGGAUGUGAAAUCCCUGGGCUUAACCUAGGAAUUGCAUUCGAUACUGGAUGUCUAGAGUAUGGUAGAGGAAAGUGGAAUUCCCGGUGUAGCGGUGAAAUGCGUAGAUAUCGGGAAGAACAUCAGGGCGAAGGCGGCUUUCUGGACCAAUACUGACACUGAGGCGCGAAAGCGUGGGGAGCAAACA